CGAGGAUCCUCGAGUCGAUAUCGUCCCUAUAAUCGAGUCUGCAAAAUAUACAUGCGUUCCAGAUUUCAGGUCGAGGGUCGAAUAGGACAAGCCAGGAGAAAUUUAGUUCCACCUUUGGCGGAGGAGAAUUUAGGAAUACAUUUUCCAUCGCUCAGAAUGAAGACCAAGUGGGGCAGGACGAGAAGGUGUUAAAAAGCUUCCUCUCCUCGCCACUGCGCGGCAGCAUCGUUCAAGAGACGCAGGAUUAUAUUUGGAAGACCUUGGGCCGACUUUACCAGCCGAGGAAAACCGCUCCUCCGAGACGACAACCUAGAAGAGGACCUCGAAGAGCGACGAGUCGCUGCUAGAAACUAACGAGGAGAAGUGACGCUAAAACGGCUCCCGUUACUCCAAACAGCUGAUAAAGUGCGAGACGGUAACUGUAUCUGGGGAGGAAGCGGCCAGGUCGCGUUAGAGCGGUUCCGUUCCAAAGCUGCAAAGCGGAACUUCACCUCCG